rnacentral:rRNA from 1 species
UACGUAGGGUGCGAGCGUUAAUCGGAAUUACUGGGCGUAAAGGGUGCGUAGGUGGCCUCGCAAGUCGCGUGUGAAAUCCCCAGGCUUAACCUGGGAAUUGCGCUCGAAACUACGGAGCUGGAGUAUGGCAGAGGGAGGUGGAAUUCCACGUGUAGCGGUGAAAUGCGUAGAGAUGUGGAGGAACACCAAUGGCGAAGGCAGCCUCCUGGGCCAAUACUGACGCUCAUGCACGAAAGCGUGGGGAGCAAACAGG